GAUGAACGCUGGCGGCGUGCCUAAUACAUGCAAGUCGAGCGAACAGACGAGGAGCUUGCUCCUCUGACGUUAGCGGCGGACGGGUGAGGAACACGUGGAUAACCUACCUAUAAGACUGGGAUGACUUCGGGAAACCGGAGCUAAGACCGGAUAAUAUAUUGAACCGCCUGGUGCAAUAGUGAAAGACGGUUUUGCUGUCACUUAUAGAUGGAUCCGCGCCGCAUUAGCUAGUUGGUAAGGUAACGGCUUACCAAGGCGACGAUGCGUAGCCGACCUGAGAGGGUGAUCGAACACACUGGAACUGGGAACCGGUCCAGACUCCUACGUGAGGCGGCAGUAGGGAAUCUUGCGCAAAGGGCGAAAGCCUGAAGGAGCAACCACGCGUGAGUGAUGAAGGUCUUCGGAUCGUAAAACUCUGUUAUUAGGGAAGAACAAAUGUGUAAGUAACUAUGCACGUCUUGACGGUGCAUCAUAAGAAAGCCAAGGCUAAAUACGUG
rnacentral:rRNA from 1 species